GUCUGUCGUCAUACCACACUGAAUGCACCCCAUGUCUGAUCUCAGAAGUUAAGCAGGGUCUGGCCUAGUAAGUGCUUGGAAGGGAGAAAAUAUGUGGAAGGGAAACUCCCAGAAUACAAUACUGCGGAGC
rnacentral:rRNA from 1 species